GGCCAGCAGCCGCGGUAAUACAGAGACCUCAAGCGUUAUCCGGAUUUAUUGGGCGUAAAGCGCAGGUAGGCGGCUAUGUUAGUCAGAUGUCAAAUCUUCGAGCUCAACUCGAAAACUGCAUUUGAAACGGCAUAGCUAGAGAGUGUGAGAGAUCGAUGGAACUCAUGGUGUAGCAGUGAAAUGCGUUGAUAUCAUGAGGAACACCAAAGGCGAAGGCAUUCGAUUGGCACAUUUCUGACGCUGAGCUGCGAAAGCGUGGGUAGCGAAUGGGAUUAGAUACCCCAGUAGUCCACGCCCUAAACGAUGUAUAUUAGGCAUUGGAAGUAUCGACCCUUUCAGUGUCGUAGCUAACGCGUUAAAUAUACCGCCUGGGAAGUACGGCCGCAAGGCUAAAACUCAAAGGAAUUGACGGGGGCCCGCACAAGU
rnacentral:rRNA from 1 species